rnacentral:rRNA from 1 species
CAUAGGUUAAUGAGGCGAACCGGGGGAACUGAAACAUCUAAGUACCCCGAGGAAAAGAAAUCAACCGAGAUUCCCCCAGUAGCGGCGAGCGAACGGGGAGGAGCCCAGAGCCUGAAUCAGUGUGUGUGUUAGUGGAAGCGUCUGGAAAGGCGCGCGAUACAGGGUGACAGCCCCGUACACAAAAAUGCACAUAUUGUGAGCUCGAUGAGUAGGGCGGGACACGUGGUAUCCUGUCUGAAUAUGGGGGGACCAUCCUCCAAGGCUAAAUACUCCUGACUGACCGAUAGUGAACCAGUACCGUGAGGGAAAGGCGAAAAGAACCCCGGCGAGGGGAGUGAAAAAGAACCUGAAACCGUGUACGUACAAGCAGUGGGAGCCUCUUAAUGGGGUGACUGCGUACCUUUUGUAUAAUGGGUCAGCGACUUAUAUUCUGUAGCAAGGUUAACCGAAUAGGGGAGCCGAAGGGAAACCGAGUCUUAACUGGGCGUUAAGUUGCAGGGUAUAGACCCGAAACCCGGUGAUCUAGCCAUGGGCAGGUUGAAGGUUGGGUAACACUAACUGGAGGACCGAACCGACUAAUGUUGAAAAAUUAGCGGAUGACUUGUGGCUGGGGGUGAAAGGCCAAUCAAACCGGGAGAUAGCUGGUUCUCCCCGAAAGCUAUUUAGGUAGCGCCUCGUGAAUUCAUCUCCGGGGGUAGAGCACUGUUUCGGCAAGGGGGUCAUCCCGACUUACCAACCCGAUGCAAACUGCGAAUACCGGAGAAUGUUAUCACGGGAGACACACGGCGGGUGCUAACGUCCGUCGUGAAGAGGGAAACAACCCAGACCGCCAGCUAAGGUCCCAAAGUCAUGGUUAAGUGGGAAACGAUGUGGGAAGGCCCAGACAGCCAGGAUGUUGGCUUAGAAGCAGCCAUCAUUUAAAGAAAGCGUAAUAGCUCACUGGUCGAGUCGGCCUGCGCGGAAGAUGUAACGGGGCUAAACCAUGCACCGAAGCUGCGGCAGCGACACUAUGUGUUGUUGG